rnacentral:rRNA from 1 species
CCGAGUGCCAGCAUUUAUGUUGGCUGUCCACAUGUGUAAACGGCAUGUGUUAGCAAGGGCCGGGCAAGACCGGUGCCAGCCGCCGCGGUAACACCGGCGGCCCGAGUGGUAAUCACUUUUAUUGGGUCUAAAGGGUCCGUAGCCGGUUUGAUCAGUUCUUCGGGAAAUCUGACAGCUCAACUGUUAGGCUUCCGGGGAAUACUGUCAGAC